rnacentral:rRNA from 1 species
UGGGGAAUAUUGCGCAAUGGGCGAAAGCCUGACGCAGCGACGCCGCGUGAGGGAUGAAGGUUUUCGGAUCGUAAACCUCUGUCAGAAGGGAAGAAACCGCACUGUGCUAAUCAGCAGUGCCUUGACGGUACCUUCAAAGGAAGCACCGGCUAACUCCGUGCCAGCAGCCGCGGUAAUACGGAGGGUGCAAGCGUUAAUCGGAAUUACUGGGCGUAAAGCGCACGUAGGCUGCUUUGUAAGUCAGGGGUGAAAUCCAACGGCUCAACCGUGGAACUGCCUUUGAUACUGCUUAGCUUGAAUCCGGGAGAGGGUGGCGGAAUUCCAGGUGUAGGGGUGAAAUCCGUAGAUAUCUGGAGGAACAUCAGUGGCGAAGGCGGCCACCUGGACCGGUAUUGACGCUGAGGUGCGAAAGCGUGGGGAGCAAACAGG